AGCAGAACACAGUCAUCAACUACUCUAAUCUUCGUCUGUUUACAUUAGUUUCUGUUUGUAGUUCUGACUCUGGAAUUCUUUUUAAUGUGUUUUGUUUCACUUUAAAGUAAUAUUAUACAGCAUUUCAGAUUUGAAACCAUCGCUUUAAUUAUAAAAAUUGUGUAAAAUUGUGUCUAUUUCAAAUUUAAAUGAUAGGCAGAGAACUGACGUGUCUCAGACAUGCGCAAGUAGGCUGAUUAUAUAGCAACUAUGUGGGCAUGAUGUGAUGUGUAGUAUGUUUUGAAAUAAAAUACAAAAUGAUAAACUGACCGGUAAUGGAAACACUUUUUCAUAAUUAACAUAAUUUUACUUCGUUUUCCCAUUAACUAUAUUUUUUGAACAUGUUUAAGCGUCUUCGUGAGCGAAUCGCUGAAGAAGCUACUAAAUUUCCAGUAGGACAGCUUAAUACAAAUACUGGUAAGCAGUCUGAUGCAGAAAAUAAAACUGCUGGUGGGAAUUCUACUGAAGAUUUAAUAACACUCAGCGAUAGUUCUUCUGUAGUAGUGCCUCAAACCAGUUCACAGCAAUUUAGCAUUGGUGAAGAUGAAGAUGGUUCUGUUAGUGAACAAAGUACACCUCAAAAACGAAAUGAUUCUGCUAAUGGAGCUACAAAUGAGCAUUCAGUGUAUUCAUCAGGCUCGAGAGAUCAUCCUGCUGGAACAGGAUCUGAUCUCGGCUUUGGUCAGGAAUAUCGGCCAACAAAAUCAAAUUAUAUCCCUCAAUCAGAUAUAGAAAGUGAAAGGGAAGAUCCACCAACAUUAAAUCUGGAAGGGAUAUCUAAAGAUCAACUUCUGUCUAUUAUAGAAUUGUUGAAAGCAAGAGCUUAUAAGUAUAAAAACAAAUAUGUAGAGGUUGUUAAAAACUACAAAGAAUUAAGAGAGGAGAAACUAAAAAUUGAAAAUACUUUAAUUGAACAACAAGAUAAAGCAUUGAGGCGGAUGGCAGAACUGCGAGAACAGUGCCAGUUGGAACAAAAGGCAAAAGCCCAUUUAGAAGCAAAUCUAAGGCUCAUGCUAGAGGAAAAAGAUUCUAGAAUAACAGUUUUAGAAACCCAGAUAAAUUUAUUGAAAGAAAGUGCGAAAUCUACAAUCAUGGAAGUUAGUGAAAAGCAAAAUUCAGAUUCUUCUGGUACAUUGAUUGAUAUUAGUGCAGCUAGUGUUCCGGAUGACUCUUCUCUAAAAGAGAAACUGGAAAGAUUUGAACACCAACUGAAUCAGGCUAACAAAACAAUUACUGCUCAAACCGAUCAAAUAUCCUUAUUGAGAAAACAAAAUGAAAGUCUUUCACAAGAACUUGAAGAAAAAGUUAAAACAUUAAAUGAAAUGGAGGAUGAACAAGGGCAGCUAAAAUCCAAACAUGAAUUCAUUCUGCAAGGAUUGCAAGAUCGACUCAAGGAAUUAGAAAAUCAGCAAGAAGAAAGUGUGAUGGCUAUGGCUGAAACUAAAAAGAACAUGCAUGAAGAAUUGGAAUUUAAAGAAAAACAACUUAUUAAAGCUGAAGAGGAAGCAAAGCAAUUUCAAGCUGCAUAUGAAACUGAAAAAUUAAAAGUGGUAGAAUUGCAAAAGCAACAGGAGGAAAAGGUUAAUUCCCUUCAACGGCAGUUGGAAUCUACAGAAAGGAUGUUGGAAGAAGAGAAACAAAAUCUGAUGCAAGAACUUGCUCGUGGAAAAAGUGCAGCAAUAACAUUAGUGCAGCAAGAAUGUGCUAAGAAAGUAGCAGCUGUUGAGGAAGAAUGGAAGAUAAGGUUGCAAGACGUGCAAAAAGAAAAGAAGGAGACUUCUGGAAAGAAAUUGAGUGUGAUUGAAGAAGAACUGAAACAGAAAAAACAACAUGUUGUAGAAUUGAAUUCUAUCAUUGAACUGCUAGAAAAAGAGAAUUCAGCCCUAAAGAAUUCUUUGGAAAAACUACAGUCAGAUGUAGACACCACUUCUACAAACUUUGACAAACUACAAGCUGAUUAUUUGGAUUUAAAAGAAUCAAGUGAUAAGAAAUUAGUACAGAUGAAAGAACAGUUAAAUCAAGAAUUAAAUGACAAGCUUCAAGUUUAUCAAAAAGCUGAAGCUGAUCUUCGCUCAACCUGUGAUUCUCUAAGAGAUCAAUUAAGUGAGAAACAGAAUCUGCUAAAUGAUUUGGUAAAUGACAAAAGUUCUUUGUGCCAUCAGAUUGAGUUGCUGGAAAAAAGAGAGAAAGAGCUUUUAAAUGAAUCUGAAAGUUUAAAAAAUGAAGUUAAGGAAUUGCAAGCAAAAUGUCAGAAUUUAGCAUCAGAAUUGAAAUCCUUUUGUGAACAUGAUUCUGAAAAAAUCCUAGAGUUACAAAAAUGUCUGGCACUAACCGAAUUGAAUCAUCAAGAUGCAGUUAAAGAAUUAACAGAAUACAAAGCUGAGAUUUUGGAAUUAGGUUCAGAAAACAAAGCACUUAUUGAUAAAGUUGGUUUCCUGAAUGCUAAUUCUGAUGAAAUGAAAAAUAAAUUACUUGUUGCAGAAGAAAAAAUUGUUUAUCUCAAUAAUGUUUUAGAUGAAUCAUCAAGGGAAUUCGGAUUACUAAAAACUGCUAUCGAUGAAAAGUUGAAUUUAUUCCAUAAUCGCAUUGAAGAUUUCAAUUAUAUAGAAAGUUCACUUUCAUCACUAGAAAAAGAAAACCAAUGUUUGAAAUCAGAAAUCAGUCAGCAUGAAACUAUUUGUAAUGAACUUAUCCAAAAAGUUACUAAACUUUCAAAAUUAAUUAAGUUAUCAAGUAGACAUAAACAGAAUGCAGAUAGGAAAAAAAACAUUGACUCUGAAUUAUUAAAUGAAAAUAGUUUUACUCGGAGAAAAGAAAAUCUGAUAUCAGAUAGAAACAUCAAAGAGUCUGAGUUAUCUGAGAUUCAUAGAAAUGACGAUAUUCUGGCGUCUUUAGAGGGAUAUGAUUUAACUAAUUGCGACAACCAAGAAUUGCAAAAAAUUGUUAAAAAGCUUAUAGAGGAAAAUCAAAAAUUAAAAGGAGAGCUUGAAGUUCUAAAUAUAGAAUUUGCUAAAAACAUUACUCAGUUACAUGAAUCUUUGAGUGAAUUACAAGAAGAACGAAAUAAUUUGAGUUUAGUUUUGCAAAGUAUUGAAACUCAAUCACAAGAAAUGAGUCCAUCACCAGAAAGGAGUAUGAAAGCAGUGGAAAAUGAUAAUAAGGAAGUUUGUAACUUAAUAAAUCAAAAUAAGGAAAACAACAAAUUUGAUAUAAUGGAGUUGAAUAACAAAGUGAAGUCUGAGAUAGCAGCACUUUCGGCUCAAACUGAAAUGAUAAAUCGUGAAUUGUGUUCCUUGCAUGAGCAAUUUAAUUUUGCAAAAUUAACAUAUUCUGAGAAAGUUUUGCAGUUGAACUCAAAAUUAAUGCGGAGAACUGAACAGCUUCUUUUUGUUAAGGAAGAAUUGGAUGCUUCUUUUCAAAAUUGCGAAGACUUGAAGAAUUUGUUAGAGUCUGUGAAAGAACAAUUAACAGAGAAAGAGGAGUUGUUAAGGACAUCUGAGAAAAGCAAAGAAGAUUUGGAAAAUAAAUAUAAAAGUGCAAAAGACAAGUAUAUUAAAAAAGAGCUCUCCCUUAAGCAAACGCACAAUGCUCAGUUAAGCGAUCUAAAAGAUCAGACUAAAGCAACAAUUGAAAAACUAAAUGAACAAAUUCAGAGUCUAAAUGCUCAGCUUACAGAGAGAGAGACAGAUCAUCAGCAUAAAUUGUCUAAUGUAACAGAAGAGUACAAACAAGAACUGAACAAAUUGGUUGCUGAUAAUCAAAUGCUCUUGCAAUGGAGGAAUGUUUUGAAUGAAAUAUUUGCUGUAAAUGAAACCUUUGAAGCUAAAUUGGCUGGUGAUUUAAACAAGUUAGAUAUUUUUAAUUCUAAAAUAGAUAAAUUAAGUUCUAAUUUGCGUUGCAUUCAAACAAAAUUAAAAGAAAAAGAAAUAACAGUCUUCCUGUCACAAAUAAAUGAUCUAGAAUGCCAAGUUCAGUCUUUAAGUAAAGAUAAUAAUGAUCUCAAUGAUAUGAAAAAUAAAAUGAAUGAACUUUCUGAGUUGUAUGAAGUUACAGUUAAUGAGCUGGAAAAAGAGAAAGGACAGAGAGAAGCAAGUGAGAAGGCUGUAUUGUCCUUAAAAGAGAAACAUGAAUCAACAUUGAAGGAACUUGAAAAUAAAUAUAAUUGUUCACUCUCUGAAAAUGAAAAUUUAAAAUCUUUGUUGCAAAAAUCUGAAAAUGAAAUGAAAACCUUAAAGGAAAAAUAUAAUGAAAUGAACUGCUCUUUAGAUAAAGUUUUAAAUGAACUGAAUGAUUCCAAGCGUCAGAUUUCCUUGUUAGAGGAGUUACGGGUUAAAUAUGAUUCCUUAGAGUCUGAGAAAGAACAGCAGUAUCUUUUAUUACAGAAAUCUGAAAAUGAAUUGAAAAGCUUAAGACACAAAUAUACAGAAGUGAAUUGUUCUUUAGAUAAAGUUACCAGUGAAUUGCAUGAUUCUAAAAGUCAAGUUUCUUCACUAGAAGAAUUAAAAAUAAAAUAUGAUUCUAUGCAAUUAGAAAAUAAGCAAAUAAAACAUUCAUUGCAAGAAUCUGAAAAUGAAGUGAAAAGCUUAAGAGAAAAAUAUGCAGAAAUGAAUUGUUCUUUAGAUAAAGUUACCAGUGAAUUGCAUAAUUCUAAAAAUCAAGUGUCUUCACUAAAAGAAUUACAAAUAAAAUAUGAUUCUAUGCAAUUAGAAAAUAAGCAAUUAAAACAUUCAUUGCAAGAAUCAGAAAAGGAUAUGGAAGCUUUACAAAAUGAACUUCUGGAAGUGAAAACUUCCUUGGAUAAAGUAACAAAUGAUUUAAAGAAUUCUGAGGAUAGAGUUUCUUUGUUAGGUGAACUGCAAUUUAAAUAUGAUUUCUUACAAUCUGAAAAUGAAAAAUUAAAAUCGUCCUCGUUGGAAUCAGAAAAUGACUUAAAAAUUUUAAAAGAAAAAUAUGCAAAAGUAAACUCUUCUGUAAAUAAAAUUACCAAAGAACUGAAUGAUUCAAAGAACCAGAUUUCUUUCCUGGAAGAGUUACACAUCAAGUAUGAUUCUUUAGCAAAAGAUUAUGAAGGUGUCUGUCAGCAUUUGGAAAAAGAAAAGAAUUCAGCUUCAGAAGCACUAAGGACUGCUUCUGAGUGGAAAUCAUUAUAUGAUUCAGUUUUGUGUAACUUAAAUGAUUUUUCUAGUAAAUCGUUUGAAAAUAUGAAAGCUAUUACUAUAGGAUUAAAUCAAAAUGAAAUGAAAUUGCAAUCUUUUGAACAACAAUUUUUGAAAGUUACUACAUUGUGCAAAGCUCAGAAGUCCCAGAUUUGUAUUUUAAAAGAAGAAAUUGUUAAUCUUAAAGAAGUAAAUAAAAACCUGUGUGAAAAAAUUCCAAAUGAAAACCAUUUGUUAGAUAUGGAAUCAAAAGUAAACAUAUUAGAUCAAAAAAUUAAAAAAGUUAUUGAAGAAAAAGAAAAUUUAAAAUCUGAAUUAGAAAGUGAACUCGAAUCUACGAAAUUAAAUUUAAAAACUGUAUUAUCAGAACUUGAAUCUAACAAAACUAAUUUUAAUACGACUCAGACUAAAUUAGUCAAUACUCUUUCAAAAUUAGAAGACACAGAAAAAAGAUUAAAUGAAGAAUCUAAAAAAGUUCUUGCCUCUAAGAAUGUAAUUGCUGAAUGGAAGAAGAAAUAUGAUACUACUGUGCAGGAACUCAAAGUGGCUUCUGAUUCACUUAGAAAUGCAGAAGAAAAUUUGAAAUCAUACCUGAAGCAAAUAGAGGAAAAGAAUGCAAAUAUUUCUGUGAUGAUAUCUAAAGAAAAAUUUGAAAGUUAUAAACAGAAUUAUUCUAAUAAAUUUGAAGAAAUGAAAUCUGAAAUUAAAGAGCUCCAAGCAGAAAUAAAUAUUCUUUCUACUAAUAUUAAAGAUAAAGAACUAGAAAUACAACAAAUCCAAUCUGAAAAGGAAAGUUUAACAACGCAAAAUGAUGAAAACCUAAAAUGUCUUCAAGAAAAAUUAGAAAAUGCUGAAAAAAAUUAUAUCACUCAAAUAGAUGAAUUGAAGUCCCAAAUCUUGCAGCUUGAAGAAGAAAAAUGUGUUUUGAAAACUGAAAAAUCGGAACUUUUAAAGUCUCAAGAAAAGCUGCAAAAUGAAGAAAGUGCCAUAAAAUCAGAAUUGAAACUAAAAGAAGAUGAACUUCUUAAAAUUCAACAAAAAUAUGAGACAACUAAUAAAGAACAAGUUGCAAAGUUGCAUAAUUUUCAAGAAACUAUGAAAGACAAAGAAAAUAUGAUUUUAAAAUUGAAAGCCAACAUUGAAGCUGUCAAAAAAGAAAACCUCGAGAAAACUGAUGAAUUAAAGAGAAAGAUUACCAAGCUAGAAGAAGAAAGAGAACAGUUAAUGAUUCAGGCUCAAGAACGUGUUUCCAUCACAGAAGCAAAAUGCAGAGAAGACAUUAAAGCUCUCCAAGAAAAAAAUAAUCAGUUACUUCUAGAAAAUAGUGAAAUUGAAAAAUUAAACAAAAAAAUUAGUCAGAUUGAUAAGGAAUUAUCUGAAUGUAAUCGGCUUGCAGAGGUAAAAGAAAUAACUGCCCGUAAAGAAAUUUCUCUUUUGAAGGAUCAACUAGCAAAAGCUGAAGAAAGACUUUCAGAAUCCGAGAAAAAGAAAAAAGAGAUUGAAGCUGAGUUGAGUGGGAAAAUCAGAAAGUUAGAGGAAGAAAAUUCAUCUUUGUUAGGGAAGACUAAUCAUUUUGAAAGUCUAAAGGCUGAAAAAGAAGAAUUAAAUGAAAAACUAAAACAAGCAGAGCAACAAGUGACAUCAAUAAAAAUGUUAGAAAAUGAAAAAGAUGCAUUAAAAAAUGAAAAUACAGCCAUUUUGAAAGAAUUAGAACUUUUAAAAUCUUCAGAAAGUGAUGUUGAGCUGAAGCAAAAAGUUGAAUCUUUAGAAGAAAGUGAAAAAAGCCUACUUUCAGAAUUAGAGGAACUGAAAAGAAAUAAAGAAGCUGUAGAAAAUGAAUUGACAGAAUUGAAAACAUCUUUUGAAAAAGAAAGAGAAAACUUAAAAUCCCAGAAUGAAAAACUUCAAAAGCAAAUUACUUUGCUUGAAAAGAUGUCUUCAGAUCCUCAGAGUACUGCUUCAAAAGAUUAUAUUGCAGUAAUUAGAGGAGAGUGUGAAACUGCCAUAAAAGCAAAGGAAGAAGAAAUGGAGACAAAAUUAAAGCACCUUGUAAGAGAUUUUUGCAUUCAAAUGGAUGUCAAAGAUAAAGACUGUGAUAAAAUGGUUUCAGAUUUAUUAGAAAAAAAUCACGAUCUGGAGGAAAGGUUAGUGAGGGAGCACCGAAAAGAAGUUUCUGAACUGCGACAAAAUUUAUUUGAAAGAGAGUGUGCCUUAGAUGAAAUGAGAGAUAAUUAUGAGGAACAAUUACAGGAGAAAGAAAAGAAACUGAAAGAACUUCAGUCUACAAUAAAAAGAUUAUCAGAAAAUUCACAUUUGAUAUCCAAUGAUGUUGCUCCCAUUUCAGUAGAAGGGUCCGAUUGGGAUGAUACUUGGGCCGUGCCUGAAGAGAGUGUGGAAAAUUCUAGUCCUGUUCCUUGCAAUGAAUGCAAGGAACACCUACAACAGAUAGAAACAUUACAGAAUGAAGUAACAAAGUGCAACUCUGAAAUUAAAGAACUUAAAGUACUACUACGCCUUAGUCCUCCAGUAUCAAUGGCAAAUAACAGCCGAAAAGAUCCAUCACAAGCAAUACCAGAACCAACAGAGUUUGAGUAUUUGAAAAAUAUCAUAUAUGAAUAUAUGAUGGGCAAAGAACCAGUUACUUUAGCAAAAGUAAUUGCUGCUGUGCUCAGGUUUAGUGACAAACAAACUCAGCAAGUUAUUAGAAGAGAAGAAGCUAGGCAUCCUGCUAGAUAGAAUGCUGCUGCAUGAAGUGCCUUCAACUUGCAUCUAAUCAAGAUUUAAAAUGAUGACUCACUGGUUGAGCUCCAAGUAGUUACCUAUUAAAUGAUUGGAAUUUGGGAGAGGACCAAUUGCUAUAUACCCUUCCACUUUACAGUCCUAUUCAAAAAUGGAAUUGCAUCAUCUACCAUUUUGUAAAUCGGUACUUGUUUAUAAACAAUUUUUUAUAUGCAUCAUUUGAUUUCCAGAUUAAUAUAUAUAUUACUUUGAAUUGCUUAUGUAUUAAAAAACCUUUAUACAUGAA